rnacentral:tRNA from 1 species
UGGGGAGUAGCUCAGUGGUAAAGCAUCUGCCUAACAAGCAUGAGGCCCUGAGUUCAAUCCCCAUCACCACAU